rnacentral:rRNA from 1 species
AGAGCGAACGCUGGCGGCAGGCCUAAUACAUGCAAGUCGAACGGAUCCUUCGGGAUUAGUGGCGGACGGGUGAGUAACACGUGGGAACGUACCCUUUGGUUCGGAACAACUCAGGGAAACUUGAGCUAAUACCGAAUGUGCCCUUCGGGGAAAAGAUUUAUCGCCAUUGGAGCGGCCCGCGUCUGAUUAGCUAGUUGGUAGGGUAAAGGCCUACCAAGGCUACGAUCAGUAGCUGGUCUGAGAGGAUGAUCAGCCACACUGGGACUGAGACACGGCCCAGACUCCUACGGGAGGCAGCAGUAGGGAAUCUUGCGCAAUGGGCGAAAGCCUGACGCAGCCAUGCCGCGUGAAUGAUGAAGGUCUUAGGAUUUGUAAAAUUCUUUCGAGCGGGGACAUAAUGACGGUACCCGCAGAAGAACGCCCCGGCUAACUUCGUGCCAGCAGCCGC